rnacentral:rRNA from 1 species
GGUCUGGUCCCAGCCUUAAAAUCAACUAUUACUUAAAUUACACAUGCGAGUCUCCGCACCCCCGUGAAAAUGCCCUUAUUACCCACCCGGGAUAAGGAGCCGGUAUCAGGCACAAAAAAUUUGCCAAAGACACCUAGCCACGCCACACCCACAAGGGCCCUCAGCAGUGAUAAAAAUUGUUUAUGAGCGCAAGCUUGACCCAGUCAAAGUAAAAAGGGCCGGCAAAUCUGGUGCCAGCCGCCGCGGUUACACCAUUGGCCCAAAUUGAUUUCAACCGGCGUAAAGCGUGAUAAAACCUAUUACACUAGAGUUAAACCUAAACUAAGCCGUCAAAAGCUCGUGUUUUGGAAAACCAAAAACGAAAGUUACUCUAUCAAUACUACUUGAACUCACGAAAGCUUGACCACAAACUAAGAUUAGAUACCUUACUAUGCAAGCCGUAAACUUUUAUUUACACCCUUAUCGCCAGGGUACUACGAGCAAAGCUUGAAACCCAAGGGACUUGACGGUACCCCACAUCCCCCUAGAGGAGCCUGUCCUAUAAUUGAUAACCCCCGUUAAACCUCACCACCAUUAGCUUAUUCAGUCUGUAUACUUCCGUCGCCAGCUUACCCCGUGAGCGAAAUCCAGUCAGCACAAUGUCUGCCCGCCAGUACGU